CACACAGUGGACAGCCGAGCAGAGAGGCCGCGGUGGAGACAGUGAAGCAGGUGAAGUGAAGACUUACCUACAGGCUGAGAUGGCAGCCCCUCCUCCAAACCAGCCCCUCCUCAAUCACAGCAGCAGGGAGGAGGACAGAGGACAGGAGGAAGGACUGAUACUGACUGAUCUCUGAGUUCUUCAUUCUUCAAACUUCGCUCUGUAUUUUGAUGUCAAGAAUAUUAGGCUAUUUAUUUUACUGACAUUUUAGAUUUGUUUCCACUGAAAUAUUAUUGAGUGUAUAUAGUGACUUUACUGUUGUGAACUUUACAGUCGCUGCUCUAGAAACAAUAUUUAGUUAUAUAUAAAUCAAUUCUGAUCCUGUUCUGAAUUUAUUGUUUUUAAAACAUGAUAAUUAAAAAAACCAAUCUUUAGUUCUGAAAAAGAACUGGUAAGAGAAUUGAUAAGAUAAAGAUACAAUCCUAACAAUACCCACCCCUACAACUGGUGGGGGCUCACCUUGACUUUGGGAGAAUGAGCAAAUCGCAGUUCAAAUCUCUUCACUAUAAGCCUUGUUUAACCAAUAUUAUUUUGUAAUUAUUAUUUUUUAUGGCACACAGUGCUUCUAGUUUAAGGUGUGUUAGAUAGUAACAGCCUUGACAUGGUUUAUUAAAUGUUUUAUGUGUAGGCUAUUAUCUGAUAGUAAUAGUAUAGUGUUUUUGUAUUGCACUUUUAUAUGACAGUGUUCACAAUAUGCUUAACAUAAAUUGAAGAAAACAGAAACUAAAACCAGGGAAUAGAGAACAAAGGUAUACAUAGUAAAAAUAAAAAAGGAUUAAUAAUAAUUAUAAUUAAAAUGGAUUAAUAAGUUAUACUUAAGUAGAUGUUAAAGCAAGCCUAAAAAGAUUAGUUUUAAGAGGAGAUUGCAAAGUCUUUUAGUCUUCAGUAUAUAUGCUAGGACACCUAAAAGCCUUUGGUUAGAUGACCUAAGGAGCUGUGAAGAAACAUAGGGUUUUUAAAAGUUAUGCUUUACCAUGUAAUGACCAUUUUAUAAUGCGAAAAUGAAUAGGUAGCCAAUGUUAGAAGGCCAGCACCAGUGAAAUGUAGAGUGCAUUUGGUCCUGGUCAGUAAUCUUCUAUCUGAACUAAUUGAAGACGAUCCAAUGUUGACUGUUUCACAGAUAAAAAGAGCUUUGCAGCAGUCUAAACAGGACAUUAGAGACAGAAAGGGUCUGAUUUUGGUGAUAUUCCUAAAGUGUAGGCAGCAGCUCUCUCUUAAUGUGUUAUGAUGUUUAUAAUUGAGAUCACAGUGUACACAGGAUGACAUGCUACAGUUUAUUUAGGACAGUAAAUAUGUAUUGUUUUGUCUAUGAUCCAAUUAUGCUAUACAUGAGGUACUGUUGCCUUUGUACCAGUGUCUAAAGGGCAAUAUACAGUGGCAGUCUAUAACGAAUGUUAACACACCCGAGACUGUUGUUUUCUAUGUACUUUCUACUCAUGUAAACCUGUGAUGACGCACAUCUUGUGUCAUCCUUCGCUGACGUGAGUUACUGCAUCAGGAGGCACCACAGGCAUGCAUCGUUCUCCAAAAAAAAACAACCCGCAAUUCACAUUCACAUUUACUCUUAGGAUUGGCUCAUCCCAGAUACUAUACCCUGAGUACUUAUUUUGUCUCUACUGCAUGUCUGGUGUGUGCCUCGGGCAUCAACUGACAUGGGAUAUGUACUGUAUAAAAUAACAGCAAAAACCUUGGACGGUUGUUCCUUUGGAUGUGCACUAUUGCUGUGUUGUCUAAUAAUGUCACUCAGUGAAAGUAACUUGAAUUCUUCUUUUGGAUUCUCCCUCAAGGCAAAUCUGUGUCCUUGACUUUUUAUGCACCUGGUACACACACUGCCUUUGUUCACUCUAUAAUCCUCAGUAAGUGCUGUUUGUUUCAAUGUCACUAAGAUACAUCAUGGCCUCUCCUUUGAAAACAGCAUGGAAGAAUGCUCAGAAAAGUCUUUUCAGGUCUUAGUCUUUGAUGUCUUGCUUGGGGACCUCUCUUUUAAAUUCAAUCUUCUAUUUCUGUGUGUUUGUGUCUGCAUUUCUGAGAGGAAGAGAGGUGACAGAUGAGAGAGCAAAAGAGAAAGAAGGCGAGAUAAAGCAAGAAGGAGGUAGUAUCACCUGCUCCUGUAUACACUACACCAGGCUGAUUCUGAACUGUGAUGGGAGGCGACACCUUUCUGAAACAGUAAAAGUCCCCAUGAAUCACACAGUGCUCACCUCUUUCUCUCUCUGUAUAUCUUACUCUCGCUCUUUAUCUUCCUCUUUCUCCCUUUGGGACUCAGCCUGUCUGUGUGACUCUCUCUCUGUUUCUCUGUUUGUUUCUCCAUUGUCACAUGUACCUGUCUCAGAGCACUAUCAGCAACAUGGGAUGUGCCGGAGAGAAAUGAAGUGCAUUUGUCACUGUUUUAACAUUUAUACACUCUUCCUGCCACAUGCUGUUUUUUCUCUCGCUGUGUCUUUAUGCCUGUCUCUGUUUCUCGGUCUGGUCCUGCCUUACUGCUUACAGGCACUUCAUCAGAUCACAAUAAUAAGGAACAUUUGUUUGAGCUCUCCAUCUUUCACUGUUCAGAGUUGUACAUUUGCUUUCUCAACACAGACCAAUUCUAUUAUUGGUUCAUAAGCAUAGAAAGAUUAUAUUUUGCCUGUGUGACAGAUGUUAAGUCUUUAAGGUGAUCUCAAAGUACAUAUUCCUCUCCUAAUACACCUUAAAAUUAUGGGUGUAAAACAAAGCAUGCAUUAUGUAGAUACAAAAUUAAAUGGCCACAGAAGCUGCAUUACCAACAGACACUUGUGUGGGGGCACAGCAGUGCAUUUCUAAUAGCGUCACAUCUUUAUGAACAGAUUUCAGCAGAUAAUAUUGAAAUGACAAGUGUAAGCAAAGCCUGUGUUUGUGUGCUCACUUGCAAAGAGGAAAAAUCUAAAAUAGAAGCUCCUGAAGCAAGCAGUGAACAGUGCUGAUAAUCAGAGCUGACGCUACGUCGUGUGUGCAGGGGCAAUGGGAAAGCCACACUUCAGGGUCCUGUUGUGUGAGUGUGUGUGUGUGUGUGUGUGUACAUGUGUAUAUUUGUUUGUGUGGUGUUAUGUAUGACUGUUUGAGGGCAAAGGAAAGCCUACUCCAGGGGAGAGAGACGUUGAUUGAUGUGAGGAGAUAUCCUCGGUGAACAGAAAUAGGCUCUGACAAUCCCAAAUUCAACCCUUUGACCCUAUACAAUAUGGGUCUUGGGACUCUAAUACACUGUAACUGGACUAUUUUGAGCUACACCUGUAUUAGUUGAUUGGUUUAUUGACAUGCAUCUAAACAAUGCUAAUCCAGGAUUCUCCUGCCUUAAAGGAAAAUUCUGGUAUAUUUUAACCUGGUGUAUUUCCCAUAAAUGUGACCAUUGUGACGCUAUAGAUUAUGCUAAAUCUGUACUUGUCACGCGCAAGCUUCCUACAGCUUUCAAAAUAAACAUGAUUUUUACAUAAAUCA